ACUUUCAGAAGACUCCAGCUCUACUGCAUCUACUGAUCUACUUUCAGAUGUGUCAUCUCCAGAACGUCUCAGUAGGUGGCCUCAAGGUCCUUUUCCAGUUCCCACAUUUGCAUUUGAUGUUGAACUGAAACUUCAACAUGGAAAUGCCGAAUAUGAGAGGAGCAACAGACACCUUAAGCUGACUAGAGACCUCAAGCACGACAUUUUAGAAAAGCUUGCAUCUACUAUGUAUAGUUUUAAGGCUUACCCAAGUGAUAAAGAGAUUGCAAAAGCUGCUGAGGCUCUUGUAGCCAAACAUCCCUGCUUGAAGGAAGCAGGAUCUGAGACUGGCUGGAAUAGAUGGAAAAAUAGCAUCAAGUUUAAGAUGGGCAAUUAUAGGACCAAGAUGAGACGGGCUGGAUGUCAGGAGGUCACUGUUAAUGCUGGAAAAAGAAGUAGAAGUAAUCCUGAUAAUGAACCUUCACAUUCCAACAUUAAAAGACCCAAGAGAGCAGAAGUCAACUUCCUACCAAACUUUCCCCAAGGAAAGGAUCCUUCAAGCCUUGACCAGUUGAGGCAAGCAAUUGUUGAAGAAGUCAAGAAGGCUGAGAAGAACCUGCCCCUCAUUAGAAAGUUGAUGGAGACCACAUUUCCCCUGCGCAGACAAACCAUAGUGAUGUCCUGCCCACCAGUGAAGGAGCUCUUGGACCUCUGGCCUGCUCUAAAAAUGGAGUCUGAGUUGUAUACAGAGUUUCAGCGGAUUACAAAUCAGAACCUGCCCAAUACAUUCUAUGCUGAAGGCAUCAAAAACUGGGAAGACAGCAGAUGCCCUGGCUGAAAUUCUAAGAAUUCACGAUGAACAGGAAAUCCAUGACAUCCACACCAAGCGCACUACCGUUCUCCACGCCCUUCCUGUCUAUCUGCGUGAGGAUGUCUCUGGAUUUUUCAGAACCUGCACUGUGAGUGUCCUUAAGUAUCUAACAGAUACUACUGUGUAUAUAAACAGUGCAUCAAAGUACAAACAUGUAUUUUGAUGCACUGUUUGGACUUACCUUUGUUUAGUCUACCCAUACGGUUUCCAUGUAUGGUCUUUUAUGUCUCCUCACUACGAAUGAACUGAAUUGGUGUUUUGUUGAAAGUGAUAAGAUGUUUAGUAAAACAUUUUCCUGUGUAUUUCCUUUAGCUUAGUUUCAGUCUAUCUCACACCACUUGAUUCUCUGGUGAAUUAGCUGAUGUAUGUGUGCAGAACAUGGAUCUUCUGUUUUUCACCUCUUACAGUGAGACCCAGGUCUCCCUUGUAAAAGAGGUAUUGGAUC